UAAAGAUUCAUCGCUGAUAGAUAGGCAUGCGUUCCAUUAGGCAGUUGGCGGGGUAACGGCCCACCAAACCGACGAUGGAUAGGGGUUCUGAGAGGAAGGUCCCCCACAUUGGUACUGAGACACGGACCAAACUCCUACGGGAGGCAGCAGUGAGGAAUAUUGGUCAAUGGGCGUAAGCCUGAACCAGCCAAGUCGCGUGAGGGAUGAAGGUUCUAUGGAUCGUAAACCUCUUUUAUAAGGGAAUAAAGUGCGGGACGUGUCCCGUUUUGUAUGUACCUUAUGAAUAAGGAUCGGCUAACUCCGUGCCAGCAGCCGCGGUAAUACGGAGGAUCCGAGCGUUAUCCGGAUUUAUUGGGUUUAAAGGGUGCGUAGGCGGCCUUUUAAGUCAGCGGUGAAAGUCUGUGGCUCAACCAUAGAAUUGCCGUUGAAACUGGGAGGCUUGAGUAUGUUUGAGGCAGGCGGAAUGCGUGGUGUAGCGGUGAAAUGCUUAGAUAUCACGCAGAACCCCGAUUGCGAAGGCAACCUGCCAAGCCAUGACUGACGCUGAUGCACGAAAGCGUGGGGAUCAAACAGGAUUAGAUACCCUGGUAGUCCACGCAGUAAACGAUGA
rnacentral:rRNA from 1 species